rnacentral:rRNA from 1 species
GAUAAACGCUGGCGGCGUGCAUGAGACAUGCAAGUCGAACGAAGGAUCGGGCUUGCUCGAUCCUUAGUGGCGGACGGCUGAGUAACGCGUAGGUGACCUACCCCGAAGUGGGGAAUAACUGCCCGAAAGGGUGGCUAAUACCGCAUGUGGUCGCACGUUCAUUCGUGCGAGUAAAGCCGCAAGGCGCUUCGGGAGGGGCCUGCGUCCGAUUAGCUCGUUGGUGGGGUAAUGGCUUACCAAGGCGACGAUCGGUAGGUGAUCUGAGGGGACGAUCACCCAGACUGGGACUGAGACACGGCCCAGACUCCUACGGGGGGCAGCAGUCGGGAAUUUUGCUCAAUGGGGGAAACCCUGAAGCAGCAACGCCGCGUGAGGGAUGAAGGCCUUCGGGUUGUAAACCUCUUUUGUCAGGGACGAUGAUGACGGUACCUGGCGAAUAAGCCACGGCUAACUACGUG